rnacentral:misc_RNA from 1 species
AUCUUACAAACGAAACUCUAACAAAGUGUCACAAGACUCAACUGGAGUUUUUUGUUGCAAUAAAAAUGGGUGUUGGAAGCUUUUUAUCUUGCAAAAAAGUUAUACCAACAAGUGAAUUGGUGGAAAUUUUCUUACUUGAAAGGUGUCGAAACAUAAAGUGUAUGAGGGCUUUACCUGUUGAGGACUGUGAAUGCAAGAUAUGUUCAACAAAGAAGGGAUUUUGCAGUGAAUGCAUGUGUCCAAUAUGUUUGAAUUUCGAUUGUGCAAGUAAUACUUGUAGUUGGGUAGGGUGUGAUGCUUGUUCACACUGGUGUCAUGCUGUUUGCGGUAUUCAGAAGAAUCUCAUAAAGCCAGGUCCAACCGAAAUGCAAUUUUACUGUAUUGGAUGUGGACAUGCAUCUGAAAUGUUUGGAUUCGUUAAAGAUGUCUUCACCUCUUGUGCAAAAGACUGGGGUAAAGAAACGUUGGUGAAAGAGCUUGAUUGUGUUCAGAAAAUUUUCCAACGGAGUCAAGAUUUUAAAGGCAAGGAGUUGCAUCUUAAGGCUGAUGAAUUGCGUAUCAAGCUACAAAAAAACAUGAUUUCUCCUCAAGAUGUCUGCAAUUUCAUCAUUCACUUUUUUAAUUACACAGAAGGUCUGACAGAGUUUCCUGAUAAAGACUUUAGUGGUAGAAAAAUAGAUGUUGUUUCUCUUCCUGCAUCUACUUCCGUUGCUCCGAAAUCUUCCCCGUACAACAUAAGCUCUUCAAGUGGAAGAAAAGAAGUGAUAUUUGAUGAACAUCAUCAGCAGAAAGAUGUCAAGGCAUCCUUCAUGGCUGGAAAAAUAGUUGAAGAUGAAUGGUCAGUGAAGCGACUAAAGAAGGAUGAGCUUGCUAGCUUGGAAAGCAUUGUGCGGAUCAAAGAAGCAGAAGCAAGGAUGUUUCAGAAUCGAGCAGAUGAUGCUCGGCGAGAGGCAGAGAGUUUUAGACGAGUGGCUAGAAUGAAAAGUGAGAAAUUGGAUG